UCAGGGUCAGUUUGACACGAUGGAGAGAACAAAUAACACAUGGCUAUAACCGUCAUUCAGAACAGCACAAAAUCCUCAGCUACAAUUGCAAAGAUGGGGAGGAAACAGAGGAGUGAUACCACACCUGGUCCCCCUCUGCUGCCUGCACCGAGGGAAACGAGCCCGAGGAGGGCUGCUGAGGCCGAGCCGGCACGCAAGGCAGUGAAACUGGCCCUCGGGGCGAUGCUGCCACCGCCAUGCUUGAGAGCUCAUACACUGAGGAUGGAAAGUGUCACCUUGAACCCUCCAACCCCACUUCUCAUCGUUGGGGGCAAAACAACUCAAAGCAUUCUUUAUGAAGAAUUUCUCCAGAAAGCAUCGUGCUUGUCCAUGUGGGCAGUUGCAAAUUGUCAUCAAGGAUGAACGCGUGGAUUUGUGAUGCAGGGGCUUCAUUCCUGGU